UGAGUGUUGCGGAUGUUUCGCAGAAGUUGACCGAACUUGAUUAUUUAGAGGAAGUAAAAGUCGUAACAAGGUUUCCGUAGGUGAACCUGCGGAAGGAUCAUUAAAGUUCCUCAUUACAGUUAUAAACAAAAACACAAUAUAUAAAAUACUUAUAUUGUAAAAUUAUGGCAAAUGCCAAAAAGAAACAAAAUAACAAUAAUAAAAUGUUUAUUAUUGUAUCCGCCUCCUAGGCAAAAAAGUAUAGUAUAAAGUGUUUUGUGUGUGUUACACAUUACACAAAAAAUUCCUUAUUUAUAUAAAAUUUGUAAAAAUUGAAAUUGUGUGGACAUUAUAUCAAAUUAAUUUGUNUACAAAAUGUCUAAAAAUUUGAAAUACAUAAAAUUAUAGUUGUACUUGUAUAAAAUUGAAAAGUAAUUUUAUAUAAGUCAAUCAUUGUUCUUUUUUUAAGAACUUGAGACAUUCGCAACAAAAAUUUUAUGUUUUAAUUAUAAAAGAGAAUAAUAAUAAGCAAAAAUUAUUGAAGGAAUUGAUAUAUGCCAAUUUGAAAAUUUUUGGUGUAUUUUUGAUUUCUUUCAAUAAAUAUAUAUAUGAAGUGCUAUUGAAAAUAAAAAUUAUAUCACUCUAAGCGGUGGAUCACUUGGCUCAUGGGUCG
rnacentral:rRNA from 1 species